UACGUAGGGUGCGAGCGUUAAUCGGAAUUACUGGGCGUAAAGCGUGCGCAGGCGGUUUUGUAAGCCAGAUGUGAAAUCCCCGGGCUUAACCUGGGAAUGGCAUUUGGGACUGCAAGGCUUGAGUGCGGCAGAGGAGACUGGAAUUCCUGGUGUAGCAGUGAAAUGCGUAGAUAUCAGGAGGAAUACCGAUGGCGAAGGCAGGUCUCUGGGCUGACACUGACGCUCAUGCACGAAAGCGUGGGAGCAACAGG
rnacentral:rRNA from 1 species